rnacentral:rRNA from 1 species
UACGAAGGGUGCAAGCGUUACUCGGAAUUACUGGGCGGAAAGCGUGCGUAGGUGGUUUGUUAAGUCUGAUGUGAAAGCCCUGGGCUCAACCUGGGAAUUGCAUUGGAUACUGGCAGGCUAGAGUGCGGUAGAGGGUAGUGGAAUUCCCGGUGUAGCAGUGAAAUGCGUAGAGAUCGGGAGGGACACCAGUGGCGAAGGCGACUACCUGGACCAGCACUGACACUGAGGCACGAAAGCGUGGGGAGCAAACAGG